GACGAACGCUGGCGGCGUGCUUAACACAUGCAAGUCGAACGGAAAGGCCCUGCUUUUGUGGGGUGCUCGAGUGGCGAACGGGUGAGUAACACGUGAGUAACCUGCCCUUGACUUUGGGAUAACUUCAGGAAACUGGGGCUAAUACCGGAUAGGAGCUCCUGCUGCAUGGGGGGGGUUGGAAAGUUUCGGCGGUUGGGGCUGGACUCGCGGCUUAUCAGCUUGUUGGUGGGGUAGUGGCUUACCAAGGCUUUGACGGGUAGCCGGCCUGAGAGGGUGACCGGCCACAUUGGGACUGAGAUACGGCCCAGACUCCUACGGGAGGCAGCGGUGGGGAAUAUUGCACAAUGGGCGGAAGCCUGAUGCAGCAACGCCGCGUUCGGGAUGACGGCCUUCGGGUUGUAAACCGCUUUCGCCUGUGACGAAGCGUGAGUGACGGUAAUGGGUAAAGAAGCACCGGCUAACUACGUG
rnacentral:rRNA from 1 species